AAAUCAGUUAUGGUUCACUAGAUCGUACAGUUUACAUGGAUAACUGUGGUAAUUCUAGAGCUAAUACAUGCAACCAGUCCGUGCCCUCGCGGUGCGGACGCAGUUAUUUGCCCAAAGACCAAUCCGGCCCUCGGGUCGGUCAAUUGGUGACUCUGAAUAACCGAAGCAGAGCGUAUGGACUCGUUCCGACGCCAGAUCUUUCAAGUGUCUGACUUAUCAGCUUGAUGUUAGGUUAUGUUCCUAACAUGGCAAUAACGGGUAACGGAGUGUCAGGGCCCGACACCGGAGAGGGAGCCUGAGAAACGGCUACCACAUCCAAGGAAGGCAGCAGGCGCGCAAAUUACCCACUCCCGGCACGGGGAGGUAGUGACGAAAAAUAACGAUGCGAGGGCUUUAUGCCUCUCGUAAUCGGAAUGGGUACACUUUAAAUCCUUUAACGAGGAUCUAUUGGAGGGCAAGUCUGGUGCCAGCAGCCGCGGUAAUUCCAGCUCCAAUAGCGUAUAUUAAAGUUGCUGCGGUUAAAAAGCUCGUAGUUGGAUCUGGGUAGUCGAUGGACGGUGCCUCGUAAGAGGUUACUGUCCGUUCGGCACCACAGCCCGGCCUUGUCUUGCAUGCUCUUCACUGAGUGUGCUUGGCGACCGGAACGUUUACUUUGAAAAAAUUAGAGUGCUCAAAGCAGGCGUUAUCGCCUUGAAUAAUGGUGCAUGGGAUAAUGGAAUAAGACUUUUGGCUUGUUCUGUUGGUCUUAGAGUCAAGAGU
rnacentral:rRNA from 1 species